rnacentral:rRNA from 1 species
UACGUAGGUGGCAAGCGUUGUCCGGAAUUAUUGGGCGUAAAGCGCGCGCAGGCGGUUCUUUAAGUCUGAUGUGAAAGCCCACGGCUCAACCGUGGAGGGUCAUUGGAAACUGGAGAACUUGAGUACAGAAGAGGAAAGUGGAAUUCCACGUGUAGCGGUGAAAUGCGUAGAGAUGUGGAGGAACACCAGUGGCGAAGGCGACUUUCUGGUCUGUAACUGACGCUGAGGCGCGAAAGCGUGGGGAGCAAACAGG